AUUGAACGCUGGCGGCAGGCCUAACACAUGCAAGUCGGGCGGUAACACAGGGAGCUUGCUCCUGGGUGACGAGCGGCGGACGGGUGAGUAAUGCCUGGGAAACUGCCUGAUGGAGGGGGAUAACUACUGGAAACGGUAGCUAAUACCGCAUAACGUCGCAAGACCAAAGAGGGGGACCUUCGGGCCUCUUGCCAUCAGAUGUGCCCAGAUGGGAUUAGCUAGUAGGUGGGGUAACGGCUCACCUAGGCGACGAUCCCUAGCUGGUCUGAGAGGAUGACCAGCCACACUGGAACUGAGACACGGUCCAGACUCCUACGGGAGGCAGCAGUGGGGAAUAUUGCACAAUGGGCGCAAGCCUGAUGCAGCCAUGCCGCGUGUAUGAAGAAGGCCUUCGGGUUGUAAAGUACUUUCAGCGGGGAGGAAGGUGUUGUGGUUAAUAACCACAGCAAUUGACGUUACCCGCAGAAGAAGCACCGGCUAACUCCGUGCCAGCCGCCGCAGUAACAC
rnacentral:rRNA from 1 species